rnacentral:lncRNA from 1 species
GUUCAGGGUGGUAUGGCCAUAGAUGAACCCUAAAUUCUUAACCAUUGUAAAUGUGGUAUUUUCUAUGCUUCAACAAGAGAAUUGUGUAUGUGGUAUGUUUUAUGCUUCAACAAGAGAAUUAUGGGACUACUGCAUAGGAGUGUCUCAGAAUAUUGAUUUUAGUUGAAUAAGAUAAAAUUUAUAUGAUUAUAAGAAAAGUCAAUGAUACAGAAAUAGAUGGGAUUUUAAAUCCAUAUUUUCAAUGAAUGUAGUGCCUACUGAAGCAAACCAUAAUCCUGAACACAGACUGAAUAUUAUUUCAGUAUUGCUACAAGACUCUUACUUGGAUUAAGGCCAAAGAAAUGCCUACAGUUAUAGAAUCAUUGCUACUAAUAAGAGUUUAGAGAUACUGGGUAUAAAUUUUUUUUCCUGUAAAAAGUCAGCAGAUAGCAUGAAUGUUCCUGUGAUGUGGAUAUCAGUUCUAGUUCAGAGGUAAAGGGAAGAGUCUAGAAGCCUGCAGUAGGAAAGAUUCUAGAGAUAUUUAUCAUAAUGACAGACCAAUUUUUUCAUAAUGAAAAAAAAAACCUAUGUUAAAUAAUUUUAGCAAGGUUGAUGAUUUAAGCACACAAAAUUCUAAGUUACAUAAAAAUGAUUAAAACAUAAGCUUAAAAUUGAAGCUGUUUUGCUCCUCUGAGGUAAAGAGUUCACAUCUCUAAGAUUAUUUAGCCAAAUGUUUUGGAGAAUAAGAGUUUGGAUGAAGGUAACAGAUUACAUUGAAACCUGUGCAAAGUGUAUGGACCCAAAAGAGAGAGAGCUAACAUCAAUGACAAUUGAACAACAUAAACAACAUAGAGAUAAAAGUCUUCACUUAAAAUCUUGCGAGUGAUUUCCUGUUACAUAUUUUUAAACUGUGGUUAAUUGUUCUAGAAACAUUCAUUAUGAGUAGCCUCAUGAUUCUAGGUUUCCCUGUAAGAGAUCCAACUAAAUCUGCCACUUCAGUGCCUACCUCCAGGAUGAUCAUGAGUCUGCAUUAGCUAACGGUAGAGGGAUGCUAUCCUCCCCAGAGCACAACUGUUGUGCAUCUGCCUACCACAUCUGCCUCAACUAAAAUGUCAGAUACGAGCUGAGACUGCAAUAGAAUUGGAUUACUGAGCAGGUCCUUGGAAUGGGAGAGGAACUUACCUCACAGUAUUUGAAUUGUUUCCUAACUACAACUCUUUCCAAUGAUGCUCGUCUGCCAUGGAAAGACCUCAACUAAGUUUCUCUCAUUUGUACAAGCGUCUAAGUCCCACUUAAUCUCUCUUCUCCCAGCCCAGGCACAGGAACAUCAACCAUUCUCCAGUCCCCCCUCAGAGCCUCCCAUGAUGGAAUCCAAACCUCCCUUCAUUGUCUUAGCAACCUUGGUAUCUCACAGUCCCCAUGCUGUGGCCACCUUCCUUACAGAGUAAUUAUACAAACUUGAAUUAUAAUUUUACAGCUAUACAAAGAGAUGGAGAAAGAUUUGUAUAAGAAUUAAAAACCCUAAACUGAGGCUUCAUAUUUCUUUUAUUAUAAUUUCCACCAACAUUUAUUGUGUUUGCAUUUCAUUGUUUUAAAUCUUCUUGUUCCUGUAACCAUACACAUUUUUAAAGUGAACAUCUUUUAUGUAGAAAAAUUUGCUCAAUCAGGAACCUAUAUGCAUAAAAAUGAAUGUUUCUUAUAACUCCAUAAGGAGGGAAAAGUCUCCCAUUCUGGAAGAAUUUGGGGCUGAAUGGUCUAUAAGAACAUAAAUUCAGAGAAAAGCAAUAAUGCUUUCAAGCCUGAAUUUAGAGGCAAGGGAAUGGUGUUGGCAAACCUCUGAGGAUUCUUCUGUUGCAUUUCCUACCUCGUGUCUUAAUAACAUUCUCUCCCAUGGUGUUAAUUUUGCCUUUGAAGAAAUAAUAAACAUAAUUUAAUUUCCAAUCGUUGCCAUGGUGAAAACGCUCCCCCCACACUUGUGAAUGCUGAUGACUGACAGUGUUGUACUGUCUUCUGAUUACUCUCCAGUCUGUUUUAAAGUCCACAGCUGGGAAUACAGUCUUCCUAAAGGAAGUAUGAUAGAUGGCCCAGUCAGGGAUCAGGAGACUUGAGCUGGUGAAAGAAGCCAUCUGUCUGUUCAGUAUCUGUGAAUGGGGUCUGACAGAGUAGCAGGAACUCGGCGUUGAGGCAGCAGCUUGCCACCCUCACUUCCAACACACUGACACUACUUUCUGACACAACAUCCACACGCAUGCCUAAUUUCACUCAUGAGUUGCAGUGACAGUGUAACAGAUCUAAUCCAUCGCCACAUACUUUUGGCAUCUAAGAUGCGGCCAAGGACUGAUCACCUUUGGAGAAUUAAGUAACAGGGGUGGACUAUGGAGAGACAAGCCACUCUAAAGCAGAUUAGUGAAUGAACUGCCCAGGUCAACACCAUUGCAAUCAAUACAUCCCAAAGCUUACUGUGCCCCAGCGUGUAAUAACAGUCUGUUUUGUUUCUCAUUCCCUUUUGCUUUAAAUUGCCAUCAUUUUGUACUCAGUAUGGGGGUAAGGUGGGAAUUAUUCUGAUACACUUCAGAGUAAAAUCCUAUAGAUUGUUUUUUGAAAGACUUCUGUAUUUUAUCUUUGUAUUUAUGUCUGUUUCUUAUAACAUAUGUUAUAGAUCAAAACGAAGUGAAUGAUAUAAAUAAGGAACAAAUAGGUAAAACUUUUUCAUAAAAAUAAUAAAAUUUCAUGAUCUGUG